GGUUGAUCCUGCCAGUAGUCAUACGCUUGUCUCAAAGACUAAGCCAUGCAUGUCUAAGUAUAAACGAUUUUAUACUGUGAAACUGCGAAUGGCUCAUUAAAUCAGUUAUGGUUUAUUUGAUAAAUACUACUACUUGGAUAACCGUAGUAAUUCUAGAGCUAAUACAUGCGAAAGAACCCGACUAAGGGUCCGCAAGGGCUUCUUGGAAGGGUUGCAUUUAUUAGAUACAGAACCAACAAUCGGGGCAACCCGGUUUAUACCUUUGGUGAUUCAUAAUAACUUCGCGAAUCGAA
rnacentral:rRNA from 1 species